rnacentral:rRNA from 1 species
GAUGAACGCCGGCGGCGUGCCUAAUACAUGCAAGUCGAGCGAACAGACGAGGAGCUUGCUCCUCUGACGUUAGCGGCGGACGGGUGAGUAACACGUGGAUAACCUACCUAUAAGACUGGGAUAACUUCGGGAAACCGGAGCUAAUACCGGAUAAUAUAUUGAACCGCAUGGUUCAAUAGUGAAAGACGGUUUUGCUGUCACUUAUAGCUUGCUCAGCGCCGCAUUAGCUAGUUGGUAAGGUAACGGCUUACCAAGGCAACGAUGCGUAGCCGACCUGAGAGGGAGAUCCGCCACACUGGAACUGAGAAACGGCCCAGACUCCUACGCGAGGCAGCAGCAGGGAAUCCUCCGCAAGGGGGCAAAGCCUGACGUUGGAACGUCGCGUGAGUGAUGAUGGUCUUCUGCUCGUAAAACUCUGUUAUUAGGGAAGAACAAAUGUGUAAGUAACUAUGCACAUCUUGACGGUACCUAAUCAGAAAGCUACGGCUAACUACGUG